rnacentral:rRNA from 1 species
UGGGGAAUAUUGCACAAUGGGCGCAAGCCUGAUGCAGCGACGCCGCGUGGGGGAUGAAGGCCUUCGGGUUGUAAACUCCUUUCGCUAGGGAAGAAGCCACUUGUGGUGACGGUACCUGGAUAAGAAGCACCGGCUAACUACGUGCCAGCAGCCGCGGUAAUACGUAGGGUGCGAGCGUUGUCCGGAAUUACUGGGCGUAAAGAGCGCGUAGGUGGUUUGUCGCGUCGUCUGUGAAAUUCCGGGGCUUAACUUCGGGCGUGCAGGCGAUACGGGCAUAACUAGAGUGCUGUAGGGGAGACUGGAAUUCCUGGUGUAGCGGUGAAAUGCGCAGAUAUCAGGAGGAACACCGAUGGCGAAGGCAGGUCUCUGGGCAGUUACUGACGCUGAGGAGCGAAAGCAUGGGUAGCGAACAGGAUUAGAUACCCUGGUAGUCCAUGCCGUAAACGGUGGGCGCUAGGUGUGGGGGUUUUAUUUACGAUUCCCGUGCCGUAGCUAACGCAUUAAGCGCCCCGCCUGGGGAGUACGGCCGCAAGGCUA